GUGUCAGCAGCCGCGGUACUACGGAGGAUGCAAGCGUUAUCCGGAUUCAUUGGGUUUAAAGGGUGCGUAGGCGGACUAUUAAGUCAGUGGUGAAAUCCUGCAGCUUAACUGCAGAACUGCCGUUGAUACUGAUAGUCUUGAGUUUGGUUAAGGUAGGCGGAAUGUGUAAUGUAGCGGUGAAAUGCUUAGAUAUUACACAGAACACCAAUUGCGUAGGCAGCUUACUGAGCCGACACUGACGCUGAGGCACGAAAGCGUGGGGAUCGAACAGGAUUAGAUACCCUGGUAGUCCACGCCGUAAACGAUGAUUACUCGCUGUUGGCGAUACACAGUCAGCGGCUAAGCAAAAGCAAUAAGUAAUCCACCUGGGGAGUACGGCCGCAAGGUUGAA
rnacentral:rRNA from 1 species